CUGAUGUCAUGGCAGCCUGGUGAGCACGCCAUCUAUAGAAGGGCGUGGUCAUGGUGAUCUACCAUGUCGGUGUGCUGCAAACUAGGGAGACGAAACCUCCUCAGCCUCGCCACCAGUAUAAUCUGAGGUCGGUUCAGGCUUUCAGAGUAGCAUCAUCCUCGCUGCUACGUCCCUCCGCGGGUCUUUGCUUUGCUGGAUCCAUCAGCGAUUGGGUCCGAGACUGACUCCGUGUGGAGAUCAUGUUAGGAGCAGGAUUGUGCUGGUGAUUCUGAUUUCCUCUUUGAUCUUGUCCUCUCAUCAAUCGAUAUCGCAAGGCUGCAAUAGCUGAAUGCAUCGCAUCCCUUGAGAGGAGACAUCUCGGUCGGCUGGUUUCUUGCUUCCCGAGAGGAGGCCCUGUUAUGAUGGGAGUUGUGUGGUUUCCGAAGGAUACGACAGUCUCUGACUUCUCGCAUGAUGAGCCAGUUUAGUAGUACUGCGGUGUUCAAGAGCGGUAGCACUUGCUUGUGAGCUAGUAUUCCUCGUGAGCUCUGCACGCGCUUGACAUGCGAGAAGUCAGAGACAGUCACUUGCUUAGGUAACUUGCUCUAUCUUCGCUAUGACGUAGAUUCUAAACUGCCAAAAUCUGGAUCAGCUGAUCAGCAAGUGAAUGAUGCUCCCCGAAAUGGAACUGUAACGCGUUUGUUGUAGGUAGCUGGUCAGUCCGAGGUUGUUUGAGUGUUUAUUUAAUUUUGUUUUUAAUUCAUAUAUAUAUAUAUUAUUUUUCUGAAACAUCACCUGUUGUCACCUUGAUGAGCAUCCACGAAUAGAUUUAUGCGUUCAUGUAGGAUUAUGACAUAAAUCGAGCAUGAGCACUAAGCAGUGGCCGAAUUACUUGUUUGGAGAAGUGAAUUUCAGAACCAAUAGGUCCUUGGGUCCCUUUUUUCCUGAUACACGAUAUUUGGCUUGUCUUGCGGCAUCUUAGGAAUACUCAUUGCAGUGUGCAUCAUGUGAAUAUGACGUGGUUUUUCGGUGGCGGCUGUUCUGAGGUGCUUGUGUAAACUGGUUCAACUUGCUGAAUAUGAUGGCAACCACAGCGUGUUCGUGCUUAUUCUAUAUUGUUACGGGGACACACAACUAGAGUUCAUUGCAGGGAGAGAUAUGCCGCUACACUCUGAGAAAAACUGAUGUUCAUCGGAGAGAUUGUCCUAGCUGUGUUGAAUUUGUUGACAGGGUGAUGCGUUCAAUUGUGUUGAUAUCUUUUACCAAUUCAGCUCCCAAUUAGGCGACCACAUGCUCCAUACGGCUGGUGAAGGAGGACAACAUAAUCAAAUCUUUCCCUACAAGACUUGUGGAUGCUUUUCAUUCGCAACGCACUCCUUUAUUUUCAGUGACAAAGCUGCCCGUGAAAGAAUCCGUGGGUAAGAUCAGUUCCAUCCAUGGCUAACCAAUUAUAUUCCUGACAUCGUCCUUGAACAGGGAACUAUUCGUGCCAGAAGAUGACGGUGUAUGGGUUAUUUAUCUUCACUACAAUAGCUAUUUCAUCCUGCCAAAGAUAAAUCGAAAAAAAUAGAUUCUUUUUAUAGACAAUACAUAGAUAAUGUGUACACUCCACAAACUAUCUAUGAAAAGACUAUUUAUUCUCGAAACAGGAUGAGCUAUCCCAGUUUAGGUAUAUCCUUAAAUUCACAUUUAUCUUAGUCAUGAAAUAAGAUAUUCUAUUCAAUUGACAAUGCAUGCAAUAGAUCUGACCCAGGUUCGAUCACUACUUCCCAGUGCUUGCUAGCUUGGUUUCUAAAUUGUGUACAUUGCGCCGCAACAUUUGGCUUUAAAUAAAAGCGUCGGCCUUGGACGAAACAUUCCACCAU